GGGAGAGAGAAGGACAGAGAGAGAAAGUACAGGUGAAGGAGUAAUAUCUAAGGGGUCCUUAUCACUGAGCUGUGCAUACUCUAACACUGAGCAUCUGGGAUACCUUAUGUUUUCCCCUCUAGCGCAAGUACUUGGUCCAGGUGAUCCCUUGUGACCAUUCCCUUGUCAUUGAAGACUGCUGUCUGUGGAACUGUCUGUGCUUCUAGGAGUGAUAUCUCUCCCGAUCAUGCAGAGAACGUUUGGAUGUUGAUGGUUUUGUUCCUGUUUCAUCAUUUCAUUUUGGUUUAUUUGCAAAAAGUGUAAAUAACUUUGCUGAGGAAAUAAAAAACAAAAAGAAAAAUGGGCAAAUUAUGUAAUUUAAUGAUGGAUUUGAAUAUCCUACAUUUCAAAUGAAAUAAUGUUAGCAGUUUUUUAAGGAUGCCUCAGAAUGCCUCAGCCACCUGUUCCCAGCUGCAAUUGGAGAAUAACUGAAACAAGGAAAGGAGGAGAGGCAGUGGAGUCGCCGUGCAGUACACUCAUGAGAAAUGGGAACUCCACUAGGAGCUGACAGGACAACCCAGAGCAGAAGAUGGAUGGUGAGUGUCCAUCGGCCCCGUCUUUAUACCUGUUAAGGGUAAAACUUCCAAAAGCAUCACCAAACAGUUGUAGAGAUCAAAGAAGGAGGAAAAAUGGCCUCUCUUCAAUUUUAGCCCCUUCCUCCGUACAGAACAGCUUCAAGUUCAGGACUUUGACUUGGCCAUUACAAAACAUAAACUCUUAUUCUUCUUCUUUUACCAACCUUUGGGAGAUUGAUUUGUGUUUUUGGGGGUUGUGGUCUUGCUGCAUGACCCACGUGUCUUGAGAUUCACUUCAGACAGACAUCCUCACAUUUUCUUUUGGAAUUUGCUGGGAUAAUUCAUAAUGCAUUGAGCUGUCCAGGCCCAGCUGCAAAACAGACCCCAACCAUGAUCCUCCCAUCCCCUCGUGUCACAGAUGGUAUAAGGUUCUUCUGCUUGUGUCACAGAUGGAAUAAGGUUCUUAUGCUUGUGUCACAGAUGGUAUAAGGUUCUUAUGCUUGUUUCACAGAUGGAAUAAGGUUCUUCUGCUUGUGUCACAGAUGGUAUAAGGUUCUUAUGCUUGUUUAACAGAUGGUAUAAGGUUCUUAUGCUUGUUUCACAG
ensembl:lncRNA